rnacentral:rRNA from 1 species
AUUGAACGCUGGCGGAAUGCUUUACACAUGCAAGUCGAGCGGCAGCACGGGGGCAACCCUGGUGGCGAGCGGCGAACGGGUGAGUAAUACAUCGGAACAUGCCCAGUCGUGGGGGAUAACACUUCGAAAGAAGUGCUAAUACCGCAUACGUCCUGAGGGGGAAAGCGGGGGAUCGCAAGACCUCGCGCGAUUGGAGUGGCCGAUGUCAGAUUAGCUAGUUGGUGGGGUAAAGGCCUACCAAGGCAACGAUCUGUAGCUGGUCUGAGAGGAUGAUCAGCCACACUGGGACUGAGACACGGCCCAGACUCCUACGGGAGGCAGCAGUGGGGAAUUUUGGAUAAUGGGGGCAACCCUGAUCCAGCCAUUCCGCGUGAGUGAAGAAGGCCUUCGGGUUGUAAAGCUCUUUCGGCAGGAACGAAACGGUGAGCUCUAACAUAGCUUGCUAAUGACGGUACCUGAAGAAGAAGCACCGGCUAACUACGUG